rnacentral:rRNA from 1 species
UACGUAGGCAGCGAGCGUUGUUCGGAGUUACUGGGCGUAAAGCGUGCGUAGGCGGUGUCUUAAGUUUGUUGUGAAAUCUCCCGGCUUAACCGGGAGGGUGCGGCGAAUACUGAGAUGCUGGAGUGCGGGAGAGGUAAGCGGAAUUCCCGGUGUAGCGGUGAAAUGCGUAGAUAUCGGGAAGAACACCAGUGGCGAAAGCGCUCUACUGGGCCAUAACUGACACUGAGGGACGAAAGCUAGGGGAGCGAAAGGG